CGUGUGCAUCCGCGUGUUUGUGUAUCUGUGUGCGGGGUAAGCGAGGUGGGGAGCAUUGACCAUGCACAAAUAGAGAAGCAGCAGAUGGAUUCAUUGCAACUAGAGGCUGCGGUGCAUAGUUGGGAUAGUGAGGAAGUGCCAUCGAUAUCCUCGCGGCCAAGGACCUUCGACAUGUCUGGCAGCAUCACCGAAUGUGUGUCCCUAUUGAUUUCCAUGGAGUCCCCUUCUGCGUGCUCGGGCGGCAAGAGUGUCAGUUCGGGAAGGAAAGAUGCCAUGAAGCUAAACAGCCUACGGACACAAGCGACGCAACGCGGUCACCUGCGGACCAGGCUUCCUCGAAUCCCAGCCAUGAGAAGAUAUCGAGGCGGCUCUCUC